rnacentral:lncRNA from 10 species
GGAAACUGGGAGAAGACUGUGAGAGUUCCCAGACUGCCAUGUGGGUCUUACCCAGUGCAGGAGAGAGGGGACAGGAGAAAAGGUAUGGGGAAUCACCUUAGACUACAGUACCAUCUAAGGAAAGGACAGCAAGGCCAUUAGAAAGUCCUCGAACCACAGUCACCCAUAGGAGGGAUCCCCAACCCCCGGGAAUGGGCCUUACUUAGCAUCUGUUUCACUGUCAGUAAUUGGCUGAAAGCAGCCCACGGGCAGCAUGAAUGCACUGAAUUUCAGAGUGCAGCAACUGGGCUCGCUGGUCUAUUUUGCUCCCUGCAGUUGGAGGUCUGAGAGGGGGCGUUCGCUUGCCUGCUACCACGUCCAGUAUGACAGAGGACUCCGCGGCCCGAGAAAGCAGUUGAUUUAGAAGAAGGAAAGACCCUGCCCUGCAGAAUCAUUAUGGAAGCUACUGAGUGACAAGGCAUCCCUGCAUUGGUCCUUUAUAUGACAAGGUUCUGAAAAAAGAGGACAGCACCUCCUAUGAAGAGCAUGGAGACCCUAACGAGAUGCAGCCACCUCUGGUGAUACGUUAUUGUCAAGAACCUGGACACCGGCUGAAGUCAGGGUCCCACCAGCAUUUGGGGACCUCCCCCAGCCCAUUCAUAUCAUUGGCACCAUGUUCUUGGACUUCUCAGCCUCUGGAUUGUCUUGGGUAUGUCACUAUCAGCAGCAUGAAAAUGGACUAAUACAGAUGGUAAGUUUUAUGUUAUGUAUUUUUUACCACAAUAAAAAGUAAUAGAAGAGGUGAGAAUUGGAUGGAAGUAUAGAUGAAACUAGUUGACCAAGAGUUGACAACUGGAGAGGCUGGGUGAUGGGUGUAUGGGGUUCAUUAUACUGCUGCCAUUCAUCUCUCCUGCUGCCAUGUGAAGAUGUGCUUGCUUCUCCUUUGCCCCUCCACCAGGAUUGUAAAUUUCCUGAGGCCUCCCAAGCCAUGCCUCCUGUACAGCCUGUGGAACUGUGAGUCAAUUAAAACUAUUUUCUUUAUAAAUUACCCAGUCUCAGGUAUGACCUUACAGCAGUGUGAGAAUGGACUAAAAAAGAAAAUUGGUACCGGAGAAGUGAGGCAUUGCUAUAAAGAUACCUGAAAAUGUGGAAGCAGUUUUGGAACUGGGUAAUGGGCAUAGGUUGAAAUAGCUUAGAGGGCUCAGAAGAAGACAGGAAGAUGAAGGAAAGUUUGGUAUUUCCUAGAGAUUUGUUAAAUGGUUUUGACCAAAAUUCUGAUGUGGUAUAGACAAUAAAGUGCAGGGUGAGAUGGUCUCAGAUAGAGAUGAGGAACUUGUUGGGAACUGGAGCAAAGGACACCCUUGCUAUGUUUUAGCAAAGAGACUGGCAGCAUUGUGCCCUGCUCUAGGGAUCUGUGGAACUUUGAACAUGAGAGAUGAUUUAGGGUAUCUGGUGGAAGAAAUUUUUAAGCAGCAAAGCAUUCAAGAUGUGGCCUGGCUGCUUCUAAAAGCCUAUAUUCAUUUGCAUAAGCAAAAAGAGCUUAUAUUUAAAAGGGAAACAGAGCAUAAAAGUUCGGAAAAUUUGCAGCCUGACCAUGUGGUAGAAAAGAAAACCCCAUUGUAUAGGUUGAAAUUCAAGCUGGCUGCAAAAAUUUGCAUAAGUUCAAGAGAAGCCAAAUGUUAAUAGCCAAGACAAUGGGGAAAAUGUCACCAGGCAUUUCAGAGACCUUUGUGGCAGCCCCUGCCAUCAUAAGCCCAGAGGCCUGGGAGGAAAAAAUGAUUUCAUUGAUGCAGGGCCCUGCUGCUUUGUGCAGCCUUGGGACAUGGUGCCUGGCAUCCUAGCUGCUUCAGCUCCAGCUGUGGCUAAAAGAGGCCAAGGUACAGCUUAAGCUUUGCUUCAAAGGAUGCAAGGCCCAAGCCUUGGUGGCUUCCAUGUGAUGUUGGGCCUGUGGGUGCACAGAAGGCAAGAGUUGAGGUUUGGGCACCUCUGCCUAGAUUCUAGAGGAUAUAUGGAAAUGCCUGGAUGUCCAGGCAGAAGUCUGUGGCAGGGGUGGAGCUCUCAUAUAGACCCUUUACUAGAGCAAUGCAGAGGGGAGAUAUGAGGUUAGACCCCCACACAGAGUCCCCACUGGAGCACUGCGUAGUGAAGCUGUGAGAAGAGACCCAUUGUCCUCCAGACCCCAGAAUAGUAAGAUCCACCAACAGCUUGCACCAUGCACCUGGAAAAGCCACAGUCAGUAAACAUCAGCCUUUGAGAGCAGCCAUGGGAGCUAAGCCCUAGAGAGCCAGAGGGGUGGAGCUUCCCAAGGCCUUGGGAGCCAACCCCUUGCAUCAGAGUGCCCUGGAUGUGAGACCUGGAGUCAAAGGAGAUUAUUUCAGGGCUUUAAGAUUUAAUGACUGCCCUGCUGGGUUUUGGACUUGCAUGGGGGCUGUAGCCCCUUUGUUUUGGCCAUUUUCUCCCUUUUGGAAGAGGAACAUUUGCCCAGCACCUGUACCUCCAUUGUACCUUGGAAGUAACUGACUUGUUUUUGAUUUUACAGGCUCCUAGGCAGAAGGAACUUGCCUUGUCUCAGAUAAAACUUUGGACUUGGACUUUUCAGUUAAUGCUGGAAUGAGUUAAGACUUUGGGGGACUGUUGGGAAGAGAUUAUUGUGUUUUGAAAUGUGAGAAGGACAUGAGAUUUGGGAGGGGCCAGGGGCAGAAUGAUAUGGUUGGCACUGUGUUCCCCACCCAAAUUUCAUGUUGAAUUGUGAUCCUGAGUGUUGGAGGUGGGGUCUGGUGGGAGGUGAUUGGAACAUGGGGGCAGAUUUCCCCCUUACUGUUCUGUGAUAGUGAGUGAGUUCUCACAAGAUCUCUUUAUUUAAAAGUAUGUAGCACUUCCCCCUUUGCUCUGUCUCUCCUGCCACUAUAUGAAGAGGUGCUUGCUCCCCCUUUGCCCUUCUGCCAUGAUUUAGGUUUCCUGAGGCCUCCCCAGCCAUGCCUCAUACAGCCUGUGGAACUGGUCAACUGUCAGCACCAGAAGAAGAGGAACCAGCAUGCAUCAGCAACCAGGACCUAGGAGUGCUAAGUGGAGAGCUUGAGGACAGAAUAGAGAGGGAGCCUAUCAGGCUGAGCUGCCUCUUGGCUCUUCCCUUCAAAUCACUUGAAGUGUCAAGAUUGGUGAGGAUUAGACUCCUUUGGGUUAAUCCCUAAUGUUGUUGACAUAGUUACAAGUAACUGUCAAAAUUUACAUUUCACAUGAAUCAUUAAAUAAAACUUACAGGAGGCCAUUGUUUUUGACUGAGCUCCUGCACUAGGCCCCAACAGACCAAACCAAAAUGGAGUCACUUGUGUUAAGUGCCACAUAAUCAAAACGUAAAGGAAGAAGAAAAAUCCCUAAAUAGACCAACUUUUCUAAAAACAAGAGAUUCACAGCAACAAAUUGGAAAGGGCCCAGUCAACCUGAGCAUGAUAAGAAAGUUUCUUCUGCUUUAAUUCUUAUAAGCAAAGUAACCUGAUGUUAACCAAGUCACUUUUUUUGGUAUUAUUCUGUUUCAUUGUUCCUGCUCAAGCUACCUUACAAAAACCAAUGGUUCUGCUAUGCCCAAGGAAGCUCUCUUUAUUUUUAGAUGGGAUGCUGCCCAAUUUAUGAAUAGCCAAUAAAAGCCCAUUAGAUUUUUUAUUACAUUUGUUGAAAUUUUGUUUUCCAACAGAGUAAAUUUUUAGGUUUUAUUUUACACAACUGGCUCAAAUAUUUUAUAAGAUGUUCACCAAAAGAGAAAUUUGUUUAAUUUAAUUUUAUUUUUUUUCCUUGAGAUGGAGUCUUGCUCUGUCACCCAGGCUGGAAUGCAAUGGCUCAAUCUCAGCUCAUUGCAACCUCCGUCUCCUGGGUUCAAGUGAUUCACCUGUCUCAGCC